UCUAAUAUCUUCAUAUUUCAGAUCACUAUUAACACGCAAUAUAUCAUCAUUGCUAUAUGCUAUCAUAUCAUCACGUAUUCUUAAUUAUAUCGUGAUAGACAUUGUAUUUAUUCAAACGCGAUAAAAAAUUAUAUAUAAAUUUAAUUCUUUAAAAGACACUGUUGUGUAAGCGAUUAUAAAAGCUAUAUACAUCUGCUUUUUUUGUUUUAACGCGCAGGAUGUCCAUUUUAUUGAUUAGAGAAAAUAUGUCGGAAAUAAUAAUGUUAUAAAAAAUUGAAUCUGUCUCUCCGAGAGUAUGAUAUUCGGUAUGUCUUCAUAUCUAAUCUAAAUUCUUCUUGAUAGGUCAUGGGAAACGUUUCCAAAUCCUCGCGGACGAAUACAUUUUGCGUGGUCCACGCAAUUGCUUUUUAUUUUCAUGCGACUUAGGUCUAGAUCUGACCCGGACGUCGCACCGGUAUCCUGCGUCGAGGUGCCAAGAGACCGUUUAAACCGUCCUGUUUCGUGCUAGCCGUCGUGCUAGCCUCGACGGACGUCGCCUCGGAGGUCGGCUCGGUCUCACCGAAGGAAGUGACUUCUUCUUCGAGGGAUGCAUCCUCCUGGCUCGUCUGAGUUGCCGGCGUUGCCUCGGUUACUUUGCGUCGCGGUAGCAAUGGCGAUCUUCUGAUCGCUGGCGGCAACGGCGACUUUGUCGUUGUUUUCGGAUGCACUUGUAGCCGAUUACGGGUCCGCAAUUUGUUCAGGGGAUUCGGUGUGGUCGAGCGAGCUGGUGACAGACUGGUUUCCGCUGGUGCCUGAAAAAGGAAAAAAAUAUUAUUUGAAUGCCGUGGAUAGAGAGUAAACGUACCUCGUGUGUCUCCUCCUCGGUUCCCUCUCCGGCUGGUUCAUCGACUGCAGCUUCUGCAACUUCCGGCGCAAACGUCGUCGAAGUCGCCUGUCCCGGUUUCUGUCUUAAAUUGACUCUGCCAACUGGCUUGAUGACCGAAGGUCUGAUCACAGGCGCACCAGGAAGUCGCGUGCGCACAACACUCUUCGGGGUCCCUAUCGUAACUUCCGACGCAGUUUGGCCAACGACCUGAGCACUGACGUCGGGAUGCGGCGACUCUUGGGACUCCUCGUCUCCUGGCGAGCUCGUAGUCGGUCGUCCGCGUCUUCGAUUGAUGUUCAACUUGCUGAAGGUUGGUCGAGCCGCACCGGCACCGUUGGACGUCGCUGAAGAGCCGCUGUUCGUCGACGGUGCUGAUGUCGUCGAUGAUAUAGCGGUUUUGCCACCGGAAGGUGCACGGAACCUGCCGCGACCGGAUACUGGUUUCUCCGCGUUCACUGAGCUGGAGCUCUCCUUCUGUAUGGUGUCCUCUUCGAUUGGUUUGGAGCCUGGUCGAGGUCGCUUGAAUCCAUUACCAUUAGAACUACCACCUCCGAAACGUCCUCUGACUUUCUGGGUCGGUUCUGAUGCGGUAGCUUCGGUGCUCGUGCUAAUGCCACCGUUGGAUUUGAAGCUGACGACAGAGCAACGACAUGUGAAAGGACGAAUACAGACUUGGAUACUUGAAGGCGUAAAGAUCCAAAGCAACCUUGUCCAUGAUCGACGAAUAUUCCGUCGUUGGAUUAUCCGUAGUGUCACUGACAGUACCGGCAUAGUUCGUUUCGCUCGACGUUUUGUCUUCUACAGAGUGUUUGUUGUCGGAUCUCUCCAGGGCGACACUCUCUUUGUCGUCUUCCUCGUUGGGACGUGGCGGUUGACCUCUGGUCAGUUCAACUUCGGUCUAAAAAUUUAUUCAUCUUUAUAACUUGAAAAGAAGAUAUUGCUGCAGUGUUGCUCGGACGUCUUUUAAUAGCAGGUGCCGGUGUAUCGUCAAUCGUUUCUUCGACAGGAGCGGGCUCUUGAAUCCUGUGUGGUCUACCACGAUUUCUAAUUAAUAGUUUCUCAUCGUUAUCCUCAUUAGGGGUAACGCCCAAGAAUCUAACGGGCCCCUUUGGCAAAGUUUGUGGAAAUUCAGGACCCUCCUGAUGAGUUCGGAAGCUGCUGGAAUCAACCAGAUCCAGACCUGGUCGCGGUCGAUUAUUACGGGCUCGCGAGGAUUCUGUUGUGCCUGUGUUAUGGUUAGAUCGCGACCUAUUGACACAUAGAAAUUAGGCAGCCUUUCCUCGGAGACAACGUCUUCGCUCUCAACCAAUUGUCUACCUCUGUUGCCAUUUCUGUUUGGUAUGACCUCGUUGUUGCUGGGCUCCACGGUACUCGAUCUCUCUACGGUACCUUCAAUUUUAACGGAUCGGGGAGGCUGAUACGUUGUUACCGCAACAUGUUUUACUCGAUUCAAAUUGUCACCGGAUAUCUGCACGACAUCCGAAGGACUGUCAGCUAACGUGCACGCAACGACGCCAUAUAUUCUAUUGCCAAUUUUCUUUUUUUGCGAGAUGUAAAAUAUACGAAAAUGUCUAGUUUGACAAUAAAAGGAGCAAGGGUUAUAACAAGAUGUUCCAUAACUCAAUCUUACACUGAAGAUGGAGGGAUACUUCAUAUUGGAAUUUAUCGUGAAACCAUAUGGAGAAAGCGGUCUUGCUUACAAGCGUAUCUGCAUAAACAUACUGCAUACGUCUAUUGAUGAGAUUGCUGCCACGUCCCAGAUAAAUGAAGGAAAUAAAGGAUUAACGUCAUUGACAGGAGUACUCACAAAAGCACGCCUCUAAGCCACAUGUCUGCACUAGACACUGUUCUUUCUCCCUCGUUCUACUCGCCUCUGCUUCCGUGAAACAGCUGGUGUCAAGAACAAAAUUGUCCUCGACGUAUACGACUGUUGCUUACAACUCGCGGAUAUGCGACCAGAAGGGAAUCUGCGGUGAUCCUCCGUAGGCGUAUAGAUGUACACGUGUGACGACCGAUAUAUGUAUACGUGUGCACAUAGUAUAUCUACGAGACUUUCUCUCGACAAGGAGAGCACCCGUGCGCGCCCCUUGAGUAGAGGCAAGCACGCGAAACGCGGGAGAACAAUGUCUUUUUUUUCCUCCGAGUUAUUACACCACGAAUGGGGUGACAUAACUACGAGGUUCAAUCGUCGGAACAAGCUCUCUGCGCCUACGUAGACCAGCAUAACUCUCAAAUAUUGCAUUGUGCAUCAUGCGGAACGGGGAGAGUUCGUAAAACAAUAUUGGAAUCUCCAGAUCUGAUUUACGACGUAAGAAUAGCAAGAAGAAAUCAAACGUUUGAAGAUAAUUACCAUUCAUCGCGACGUGUACGAUAUCCGUUGCAACGACGGACCUUCUACGUGCAAGUCGAAGGCUAAAGGCGGGAAGGCCAUUGACACUGCGUGCCGUAAACACUCUUCUGAUGCAGCGUACACGUGAAAAUUGCCGUUGUCCAGUGGCCUUGUCGAAUAAUAAUUAUCCCUAUCUCUGUGCUGACAAAAUCGAGAUUGAGAUAGUAAUGUACAUCAUGCGUAAACGUAGAAGAAAGCCUGCAAAAUCUCAAGGAUGACUUCCUACAUUAGCGACACUUCCGCGUCUGGCAUUUGUCUGCUUAUGCUUUAUGGUCGACGAGGUAUAAAAAUGCGUUGAACGUUUGUACACUCGGCAUCCAUCAAUGGAAGUAUAGUAAAAGACAUGGAAGAAUGAACAUUUUUAAUAGCAUCGACGAUUGAAACGUCCCAAAAAGAAAAAAGAUUUAAAACGGAAUGUGUGGUUUUAUGAAUGAAUUCUUUCCAACAGAGUGAAGGACUCCCCGUUACUAGAGCUACUUUAAGACGGUUCUCGAUCGCCUGUUUCUUGAAGACCCGAGGUCAUUGGUACACAUACGCGUGCACUUUGUAACAGAGUCGAAAUCAUCGAUACGUACACUCGUAUGCUAGCGGGAAACGAGGAACCUUGACUGCACUUUCGCGGAACUUGCACUGCAUCCCAAUCGACCUUUAAAGGACCAACCAAUCGUUUUCCCAAUACUUUCGAAAGGCAGUUACAGCUCGAUAUACUCGACCAGAAUCCUUAGCGCCUCCGAGCGUAAAGACACCUUUAACACAAUUUUUCAGCUGUAAAGCUAGAAAGUUGACCUUUUUGAUCGCAAGCGAUUUACCGAAGAAACAUGAUCAAUCCAUGUAAAAGCAUCAUAAAAGAUGGCGAUCUGCCAGAGAAGUCAACAUUUCAAGUAACCGCACGUUUCGCAGCUGAACAUCAAACGAAACCGAUUAAACGUAAAAGGAUCACUGAAGUUGGCGAAUAGCCAAACAAGCUGUUACUGCCAAUGAGGUAGCAAUUUGCGGGAUCUUUCGAGAAUGCGAUAAAUCGAAGUGAAAUCCCGAACGUUGCAAAAUAUCUUCUCGCAUAUCUAAAAUUGAACACGGCUAAAGCUAUUCAAUGUUAAGGACGGGAUAGGACCGGAAUUUCUAAGACGAGGCGCAGAAUGACGAAAUUCGUGGCGCCUAAAGGAAUUUCAUGGAAAGUGCCUCCUACUCGCUUUUGUCGAGGGAGAUCGACCAGUCCAGGCGUUUUCCUUCCUCCAGCGUUCAUCCCAUCAGGUGGAACAUUGGCGCGUCCUCUCGAAGAUAAAAGACUUCCUAGCCCACUUGUUCGUUUCGUCGGUGCCGGUGUCACCGGUGCUGCUACUUCUUCUUCGUAAUCAUAUUCCUCUUCCUCGGCUGAUCUGACAGCUAUUACACAGAGAGCGAAUAUUCUGCAAAGAAUACGUUACUUUUGUGCAGGACACACGCAGGAUGGAAUCCCCAAGCGCAACUUUCGCCAGGAUCGAAAAAGGAAUCCGAGGACAAAAGGUCCUACUUCAUGCGUCGUGCAAUGCGAUUAUUACGUAUGCUCGGCGUGGCUCGGCACGACGUGUUUCUUCGCUUCGCGUGAUAGUAGAUCCGUGUACACCAGGUGGAUUUUGACCUGUGAUAUUCACGUACACGAGACUUACUUUCUCUGCUCGUGCAACUCGCACUGUUCGGGAUUGGCCGUGCCGUUACGACGGGACAUUCAUAUAUACGUGAGGCGGCUCACAAAUGUCAAGAAAACCAGCCAAACUCGAGGUCCCUGGGAAUAAAGCAAUUCAUCAUACCAGCCUGAUUGUGUCGCAUAUAGCGGGAUCACUGAACUUCGCCUUGGAAGGAAGCGAUUACAUUCGCAUUAUUUCACCUACAGGAUGUCGUUAACGUAAUGAUCCAACCGUGAUAGGUAUUAGCUUUAAUUCGUAUGGAAAUGCUAUGCUAAACGAUUCGGGAUAUAUUGUUGGGCUGCUGGACGUUAUAAAUCAAUAUACGCGCGUUCGCGAUCGAGAAUUAUCGGCUCACAUCUGGAAUUUCCGCAGGGGUUAACAAUUACGGAUAUUAAGCCUGAGACAACGAGUAUACAUAUAUUUUAUUUUUACACCGAAGCAUUCAAUUGUAUCGAAUCGUGAGCCACGAAUGGCGCGUACUCACGUGAACAACGUAAGUUUCAUGAUGCUGACACACACAGCUUGUCGUAGAAAUUGGUUCUGCGGAUGUCGUGCUCUCUUUUGACGACUGCGACGUGCGAGAAAGAAAAAACCACUUAUUUGUGGCCGAUUGUUACCACUGGCGCGAGAAAUGGAUAUUAGACGACAACAAAAUAGAAGAAACCGAAGAAGGAGCACACCACUGUAAUCGCGGAGGCUGUGUACUUUGGAGUGCCGAGUCAAGUUUCCCCUUCUCUCUAUAUAUAUGGCACUCUCACUCUGGUAGCAACCACCCGUGCACGGGUUUGCGAUAGCAUAUACGUGCGAUAGCAUAUAUAUAUGUCCGACAUAUCUUUAAUGACACUCGCACGUUCACCCCCUCACAUUGCGUGUGUAAUACACCGUAAAUACACGGAUUUAGGUUUCGCACAAACCUAAGGAGACAAGUCGAAGUGGCGCGUUACUCGCUUACUUUGUGAACCCGCUGGGUGAUCGAGUCGGUUAAAUGUAUUAGAUGAUUUGCAUACCAUAAGACAUUGCAUAACUAACAAUAUUAUAGUCUUUGUAAUUAAAAAUUGCAAUUUUUAUAAA